GCUCACCCUCCAAGGCUCAGAAACAUCACCAACAGAGAGUCUUUGUGACCAAAUCAUCAAAGUGUGGAUACAAGCAUUCAGGAGUUCCUUCUCAUCCAGGUCAGAAGGGAAUAUAAUCAGCUCUGGACUAAACAUUUGGAGAGAAUUAAUUAUUACCCAAUAGAGUUGAAGCUUCCUACGAUGAAAAAAAGUACAGACUCCAAAGUGCUGAGGAUCAAACCCAGUGCCUUACACAUGCCAAGCAAGUGCACUACUGCUGCGCCACAGUCGCAUCCCCCUAUUACGAAGUUCAUACCGGACAUGAAGUGAUAUAAUGUUGUUUGCAGCAGGAUGGUUCAACAAGAAGGUCCGCAACAGGUGCCAGCCCCUGCAAGCCUUUAGAAUUGGCUUAACUAAUAAAUUUUUGUCCAUUAUAAA